rnacentral:lncRNA from 1 species
GCGUAGCUGGAGUAGACAAAGUUAGGGCUUUGAGUUCUUAGUGAUGGUGGAACUGAUUUCCUCUUUCCUUUACCCAGAACUUGAAACCUAGAGAAUCCUAAUCUUUUCAAAAAAUUUAGACUUUCUUUCACACCCUAUAAUUAAUCUAACUAUUUCUCUCUUAAAUUUCUCGAAUAUCUCACUUUGUUCCUCCGUUUCUCUCUAUUUCCACCCCUGUUUCUCUCUUCUUUCUUCAUCUCUCUCUCUCUCUUUUUCUCAAAGACCUAAGACUAUUUAUAGAACAAAGAAACUGACCUACCUGAAUGAAACUAGGUCGUUGAAUGCCUAGGCAAUGAAAUCAAACCACAGAAAGGCCAGGACAAAGUCAGGACCAGAAGUCCUAGUACAAGAGAGAGCAUGAGGUGUUUUCCUUGUAAGAGUUAGUG